rnacentral:lncRNA from 1 species
AAUUAAAAUGAAAACUGGCAUUUUAUGUUUGGAAUCGAUAUCAAUAAGCAUUUUACCUGGCCUACUGAGCAUAGAACCAGGCACUCCAUUAUAAGAAUUAACUUACUUCUAAUUCUUUCAGAACAAUGCUUGGUUCAUAGUAAGCACUUGGAAAAUACUAAGUGACAUUGUUAUUAUUGCUACUACCCAAAGCAAAAAUGGAUAAAUGGGAUCACAUCAAGUUAAAAAGCUUCUGUACAGCAAAGGAUAUAAUCAACAAACUGCAGCUUUUGAGCCAUUUUAUUACUCUUAUUUAGGUCAGCUUGACUUAUUUCAAAUUCUUACAGUCUGUUCUCCCAUUAAGGUAGCAAUAAAAAAAUCUGAGAUAAAACAGAGACACAACAUAGCAAAACCUCUGGGAUACAGCUAAAGCAGUAUUAAGACGAAAGUUUAUAGCACUAAAUGAUACUGGUACAAAAACAGGCACAUAGAUCAAUGAAACAGAAUAGAGACCCCUGAAAUAAAGCUGCACACCUACAACCAUCUAAUCUUCAACAAAGUAAACAAUAACAAGUGAUAUGGUUUCACUCUGUGUCUCCACUGAAAUCUCAUGAGGAAUUUUAAUCCACAUAUGUUAAGGUAGGGAUCUGGUGGGACGUCAUUGGAUCAUGAGGGCAAAUUUCCCCCAUGCUGUUUUUGUGAUAGUGAGUGCCCAUGAGAUCUGAUGGUUUAAAAGUGUGGCACUUCUCCCCACUCUCUCCCUCCUGUCACCAUGUAAGAUGUGCCUUGCUUCCCCUUCCCCUUCUGCCAUGAUUGUAAGUUGCCUGAGGCCUCCCUAGCCAUGCAAAAUUAUGAGUUGAUUGAAUCUCUUUUCUUUAUAAACUACCCAGUCUCAGAUAUUUAUUUAUAGGAGUGUUAAAAUGGACUAAUACAACAACAAGUAAUGGUGAAAGUACUCACUUUUCAACAAAUGGGGCUGAGAAAACUGGCUAACCAUAUGCGGAAGAAUGAAACUGAAGCACCAUCUAAUACCAUAUAGAAAAGGUAGCUCAAGAUGGAUGAAAGACUUAAAUGUAAGACCUGAAACUAUAAAACUCCUAGAUGAAAACCUAAGAAAUAUCAUUCUGUAAUAUCCAUUAUCUAUAAGGAUCUUAAACAAUUCAACAAGCAAAAACCAAAUAACCCCAUUAAAAAGUGGGCAAAGUACAUGUACAGACACUUCUCAAAAGAUCACACAUAUAUGACCAACAAACACAUGAAAGAACACUCCACAUUACUAACCAUCU